GAAUUCUAUUACUUGGGCUUGGGCCACAUGGGCACUGUUGCACAAGUAAAUAGGGCAUCAUGUUGAUUUAUGCUAUAGGUUUAACUACUACCAAAAUAAAAUUGCCACAAACAGAAUUAUAUUAAAAGCAAUAAACAAUGUUACUCAACAUAUCCAACGACAAUAAACAUCACAUUUAGGGGGAAUGUCACAGUUGAGUUUUUCACACAUUGUUAAAACUGAAUGGAUCCCUCUUGUUUGCAUGUAAUUCAAACCAAAAUUGAACCAUUUAUAAAUGUUAACUGAAAAUUUGGUUAACUGACUUCAUAGGUCAAUUAACCGCUUUCUCAGCUGGUUUGAAAAACUCUGAACUAAUUUCUUUACCCGGCAGUCAUCCUAGAAAAAUUUUGAAAUCCAGGCCACACUAGUUGGGUCACUGGAACUCUAGUGAAGGCUGCUGUCAAGUGCAAAUGAACAUGAAAUGAAAAUGAAAAUGCACCAUUUAUAUACAAAGAGACAGCACCUCCAUCAUUGAACAUUUACGAUAUGUACCAACAUCAUUCUGAGAAUAUGAACAACAACAUGCUGUAAGAAAUCACGUCUACUCUUCUUCUUUUUUUU
rnacentral:misc_RNA from 1 species